UACGUAGGUGACCAGCGUUGUCCGGAUUACUGGGCGUAAAGAGCGCGCAGGCGGUCGUUCAAGUCGAGUGUGAAAGCCCCCGGCUCAACUGGGGAGGGUCAUUCGAUACUGAUCGACUGGAAGGCAGGAGAGGGAAGCGGAAUUCCCGGUGUAGUGGUGAAAUGCGUAGAUAUCGGGAGGAACACCAGUGGCGAAGGCGGCUUCCUGGACCAGUACCGACGUCAGGCACGAAAGCGUGGGGAGCAAACAGG
rnacentral:rRNA from 1 species